UUUUGACCUUGCUUCUGCCCUUGUAUCUGUACAAAUGACCGGACGCACCAUUUCAUCUCUCCUGGGGGGUCCAACAGCCAAAUGACUUGUCACCCAAACUGCUGCAGUGAUCCAGUGUGGACCUGAUCCCAGCUUCCUCUCUGGCCUGUGAGGCCAGAUAUGCAGGUGUUCCCCAUCCUGCGGGAUAAGGUAAACGGAAAGGUCCCGCAGACUCUAGAGCAGAUGGCCUACCUCUUGCUGAUUGCGGAUGGACUCCUGGAAGUUUGUCCAAUAGCUGAAGUGAGCCAAAAAGUUCCCUUCCUGGGUGUACACCUCCUAGCAGUCCUCUGCUGUCUGACAAAGGAGUGUCCUAACAGUGGCGAGCAGGAGCACUUGCCACGCACAGCGCCGUUCCAGGGCUGGGGCCCAGGCGGAAGAAAGCUGGAGUUUGUGGUUGGAGCAACAUGGUUUGGGGGGAACGGUGCUGAAAACCUGGUCCCCCAAAGCUAUCGGUACUGAGAAGUGGGACCUUCUGGGAGCCUUGUUAUACAAAGCCAACCUUAAGGUAAUGCAUUAAUCUAUGAUUCAGUUUAUUGGGCAUCUGGGGAGUGGCUUUGUUAGUAACGUGGGCUGCCUCUGAG
rnacentral:lncRNA from 1 species